UUGUUGAAGCUUGGUUGUUCAUUUAGGCCUUUCUUAUUGACUGACCUGAACUGCCAGCCUGCCACCCAACUUAUGCAGUUGAGAAGGAAGUUCUCCUUCUCCUGGCUUCCUGUCCCAAGGGGUCGUCGCCAGGGGUUUGAAUCCUUGGCAGAUCUAAUAAAGGAGUAAGAAAUGUGUUAAGCUCAGAAAACUGGGACAGUGCAAGUAGGAUAGUUGUAGAUAGGUAGGUGUGUAGUAGUUAGUAGGUAGGUUGUAUGUUAAUGAAGUUGGUAGAUAGGUUGUACAUAUGUAAGUUUUUCUUUGUUGUUUAGAAUUACCUUGAGUUCAGGAACUGGGACAGUGCAAGUAGGGUAGUUGUAGAUAGGUAGGUAUGGAUAGGUGUGUAGUAGUUAGUAGGUAGGUUGUAAUUAGUAGGUCAAAGGUUGUACUGUAGUUGUGGUUGGUAGGUCAAAGUUGGUAGAUAGGUUUUAUGUUUGUGAAUUUAAUUUCUUCUUUGUUGUUUAGAAUUACCUUGAGUUGAGGAUAUCAAAAAGGCGGUUCAGUUUAGCAAUGAAUUCUGCCGUGUCCUUUGCCUCUGCAGGCAGCCUCUUUAGUGACACCAUUGCUGAAAUGCCUGCGUCACAACAGAUGUGAGCACUUAAUAGGAGUUCAGUAUUGCAUUAGAAUCUUCUAAAUCUGCUACUAGUCAUUGUAAAGAUGACUAGUGCACAUGGAAUGUAGGCCUACCCGCAGAAACGGUGUGGCUGAACACUUGGGUUGCCAAACUGACACGCAUUUUUGAAAAUGCAGGCAAAGAAAUGCGUCUUUCCGUUAGCUUUGGCGCCAUGCGGACGGUAUGGAGCUUGUCCAGUUAAUGGAAUUGAACUAUAUGGCGCCAAAGAACAUCUUUUCCUUGGAUCUAAGGAUCCGUAUUUAAAGAAGUUGUUCCUGAUGGACUUCACCAAGUGAGGGACAUCAAAAAUGACAGGAACUCUCCUGACCCCCACCAGAAUGCAGUGGGAGUCCUCCUCGACACCCAGAGGGUCCAGGGUGGCCCCAAGUUGGUGCAUAGCUUUAACAUUGGUUGUUGCCUGAUCACAUAUUACUGCCUGCACCUUGGAAAUAGGUUAAUACAUUAUGUAAAUACAUGGAUUGAAUGUAAUUGUAGAUUGUUAAUGUUGCUGUUUAAAAGUCUGUGCUGUGCAUACUAUCAGCCCUAUGUUCUCUAGCUUUCCAAUGGCAUUCUCUAUGAUGCCGGCGAUUUCCACCGCUGGCAUUGAACUUGGUGAGAAGAAAUAACCUAUGGCCUGUUGAAGGACAACGUUUCAGCAUGGCCUGAGGGAGCUACGCCAUACAUGGCAUCGCUUCUCUUGUCGUAAUCAAAUUGCCUCUUGAUGGCCAUCUCGUCCAAAACAAGAGUGCACAUUCGCUCAACAUGGGUCAUUGUGGAGGCGAUAUUUCCCAUCUGGAAAAUUAUUCCUUCCAGGAAGCCUGGCUGUUGGAACAAGCAAAGUUAAAUUAACAGUUCUGUGCCUUGAUGAAGUUCCGGCAGCCUUCAGGACAGCUCUUCAUCAUCUCCUCCAGAAUUUGAUGAGGACUAUGGAAGAAUAUGAUGUAGAGGAGGGGAGGAAAGAGGUGGUGGGUUGAUGCAAUCAACCAGUGUAGGGAUGGCAUCGCUGGUAAGUGCAUUUUUUCCAUUGUGCUUUUUAAAAACAUGAGCGUAAAGAAAAUGCAUCAGUAAUUGUAUUACUUUAUUGUAUUUAAUUGUACUAUUGUAAUUUCUUUCCAACUACACAACUCACUUUUUGCAGGAAGCAUUUCUCGAAAUGUAGUUCGCAAACCACAUAUCCUCCAUGCAUUAAGUCCUGAUGUGAUGCAUUCAGAUUCAGGUCCUUUCGUCUCAUAUUUAUGAGCCAUCUCCUUCUCCUUAAAUUGAAAUCCAUAGGGUUUAAUAUGACGUCGGUUAAGACCUCUUUGUCUCUCUGUUUUAACAGUUGCCCCAUGAUGCCCAACAGAUGUAUGACAUCCUUCAUCAUCAUCCUCCUCCAACCCCCCCAUUUACAAACACACCACCCCUCAUCCUGUAGCUGUAGUUGGUAGAAUAGUAAGGUAUAGUUUAGUUAUAGUAUAGUUCAUAUUGUAGUAUUGUAAUGUGUUGUAAUGUGUUGUUCAUGCAGUGUUUUUAUUGUAAUAUUGUAGUGUAAGAAAGGUUCAUGUUGUUGUCAUUAUGUUUAGACACCCCUUCCCACUAUCCCAAAACACACACACACCUUAGUAGUAGUUUAGGUUAGUAGUAAUGUUUAUUUUUUUUUUAUAUAUAUAUAUAUAAUAUGUUUUAGUCGUCGUGCCCCCCCCAACAAACAGCAAAAAAUGUCGUUAGCUUGCCUGUUUCCACUUCCCCAAAAUGCCCCUGACCAUGAUGACCAUUGCCUGUUUGGCAGCAUGGCCUGAAGGAGCUACGCCAUAAAUGGUGAUGGUGUUGUCAUUGUUCAUGUAAUGUUGUUAUUGU